rnacentral:rRNA from 1 species
CUAAUACAUGCAAGUCGUUACGCUGAAGCGCUCUGCUUGCAGAGCGCGGAUGAGUGGCGAACGGGUGAGUAACACGUGGGCAACCUGCCUGUAAGAUCGGGAUAACUCCGGGAAACCGGGGCUAAUACCGGAUAACCCGUGCCUCCUCCUGGAGGCGCGUUGAAAGGCGGCUUCGGCUGUCGCUUACAGAUGGGCCCGCGGCGUAUUAGCUUGUUGGUGGGGUAACGGCUCACCAAGGCGAUGAUACGUAGCCGACCUGAGAGGGUAAUCGGCCACACUGGGACUGAGACACGGCCCAGACUCCUACGGGAGGCAGCAGUAGGGAAUCUUCCGCAAUGGACGAAAGUCUGACGGAGCAAUGCCGCGUGAGUGAAGAAGGUCUUCGGAUCGUAAAGCUCUGUUGCCGGAGAAGAACAAGGACAGUAGUAACUGGCUGUCCCUUGACGGUAUCCGGCCAGAAAGCCACGGCUAACUACGUGCCAGCAGCCGCGGUAAUACGUAGGUGGCAAGCGUUGUCCGGAUUUAUUGGGCGUAAAGCGAGCGCAGGCGGUCCUUUAAGUCUGAUGUGAAAGCCCACGGCUCAACCGUGGAAGGUCAUUGGAAACUGGGGACUUGAGUGCAGAAGAGAAAGUGGAAUUCCAUGUGUAGCGGUGAAAUGCGUAGAUAUAUGGAGGAACACCAGUGGCGAAGGCGAC